GGAAAAAUCGAGCGCUAUACGAGACAUUUUCAUCCCACUUUGUGGAUACUCAAACAUUUUGUAGGCUGACCCGAAGUUAUUUUGUUGGAGUUGAUCCAAUGCAAAGGGCUUUAGUAGUGAGUUGACGAUAUUUCACGAUUAGAGUAUUACACAUUUUGUCAACAGAGAUUUAAAGACUAACAUGAAAUCACCUCGACCUUUCCGAUUCAAUUGGCAGACAACAGAGAGAGUAGUAACACACCCGUCACCCAAGGAGGACUGUGGGAGCUGUGGUCUAAGUUCAGGUCUAAACUUACCCAGUACUAGAAGCUUGGUAAGGAGAUGAUGAUGAUGAAGAAGGACAUCUCUAGUGAUGCAAGGGAUUGGAAUAUACUGUUUGACGAAGAUAAAUACCCUGCCCAAUUCCCUCAGCAUACCUACAAUGCUAGAGGUUGGAUAUUUUAAUUUUGUCAGUUAGUUCCAUUCUCCAAGAAUAUUUUAGUUUUACUGAUUGAACUGACAUGUGGUGAUGAGAGUAACUUCAGCUCAGUGACCAAGUGGAAAGGAAGAAAAAACCAAAAGAGAGCUAAUUCCCGGGAUCACUGGUGUUGACUGGAUUGUGUGUGAAGAUCUUUAUGGUGGAUAUUUACUGCAGAGUCCUGUGGCACCACAUAAUUCUUUUCAACUACUUUGGUCUAAAGAACGAAGACGGUAGUACUGCAAGAGAUUGCUUUGAAAUCUCUUCAAUUUUCUAAUCAACGGUUCAUCUAAGUGUUGCAUGCACAAAACAUGGUUCAAGCUAUAACCGCGGAAUCACAAGUACUGGUAACUGAGAUGCCUUCUAACAACCAGAAGCCCAGAAGAAACUGCUCUUUCAAGACAUACAGUUUAAGGGCAUAAUUGUUUUAAUUUUAUCUGCUUUUACUGUAGUUGAACUGCAACUAUCAUAAUCUAACAGACAUGAUGGACAGUUGAGCUGAAGAUUACAUAUAUAUUUGGCUUUCAUUUAUAUCAGCGUUGUUUUCAAUGGCCUUCAAACUUCAGCUUUUUUGAUGAAAUAAGACCCUUCAUGAUUGAAUUUCUCAGAAGUUUAUUAUCUUACUGUUGUUAAGUAAGUUUUUCACGGGGAUAUAUUCAUAAAAACACUGUCUAACAUUUACUUCAUCAAAGGUAUGUGAAUUUACAAACUACGAUUCUGAUAGAAUUGAAAGCUACAAAAGUAAAGUGACAGAUCUUUUUGCACGAUAACUGUCAUUAUCCUCCACCAUGCUGGGUUCCUGACCUUGCUUCAUCUAAAUACACAGCUGGUCAAAACACUAAACGCUAUUUUAAAUGCUUUGUGGUCGACUGAGGAGCAUUGGUAGACAUAUUCAAUGGUUUCCACAUUUACGGAGACCAAGAUAAUAAAUGCCACGCACACUAUAGUUAGGUACAGCACACAGAACAUUGCUAAAUUCUAGUCCUGCCUCAUCGAUUUGAAAUGAGAAAUGAGCAGACAAAAGACGAAAAAGAUUGACGCUCAGGACUGCCACAUAUAGAAACAACUGCAACGAUUAAAUGCCUAAGGUCUAAUUGGUUAGUGAACAAUUGCUGAAGCCUGUAACCGGAGAUUUGUGCGUUAAACAUAUUACAUCAGACUACACAGACUUUUAUAAGCAAACUGAGAAUCGCCAGGACACAGAAGCGAAGGGCCCCUUCUAUUCGGUUUUUGGCAAAAAGCUUGAGUGUUGAUUGUUGAACAUUGGCCUAGAUAAACUAUGAACUUUUUGAAACACAGGGCGUUUGUUAUUUUUCUGAUGUGAGUUGGCAACAUAUGAUCAAUCAUUGGUCUGUUUUAUAGUUACUUUAAUGUGUACAUUUUCAAUUCUGUUAAGUCUUUUAAGUAUAAGGUUGCUUUCUUUUGUUUUACCUUCAUGUCAUCUUUCGACUUCUCGCAGCUGCAGUCUUCCUAUUUGCCCUCAUCCUUCGCUCUCCUGGCCCUUUUCUAUAGAGUUCAUCUCUUUACCCGACUUGUCACUGACUUCCUAUUUUCUAUUUAAAGCUCUCACACGUACGGCCUCUAUGUGUGCAAUAUAUCUCUUUAUCCAACUUCUCAUCGUCUUCCUACUCUCUCUCUAUCCCUCUCCCUCUAUAUCCCUCUCUCUCUCUCUCUCUCUCAGGUCCUCAGUCCUCCUUCUCCUCUUCAGUCCUCCUACUCCUCAUCCUCUUCAGUCCUCCUACUUCUCCUCAGUCCUCGUAUGUACAAUAACUUCUCAGUCCUCCUCAUCAGUCCUCUUGCUCAUCCUCCUACUCAGUUCUCCUCCUCAGUCCUCCUAUAAUGUACGAUUCCUUCUCUGUCCUUCUCCUCCUCUUCAGUCCUCAUACUCCUCCUCCUCAGUCCUCGUAUGUAUGAUACCUUCUCAGUCCUCCUUAUCCUCCUUUUCCUCCUCCUCAAUCCUCCUCCUCCCCAGUCUUUCUCAGUCCUCCUUCUUAUCUUCAUCCCCCUACUCUUCCUCCUCCCCAGUUCUCCUCCUCUUUCUCUUCCUCCUCCUCAGUCCUCCCCCUCCUCCCCAGUCGUCCUCCUCUUUCUCAGUCCUCGUAUGUACGAUACCUUCUCAGACCUUUUCCUCGUCCUCCUCAUCAGUCCUCCUCCUCCUCCUCCUGCUCAUUUUUCCUCGUCCUCCUCUUACUCAGUCCCUCUCAGUCCUCCUCCUCCUCAGUCCUCGUGUGUAUGAUACCUUCUCAGUUCUCGUAUUACAUUUAAAUUUGUUUGACAUCGUAUAUAUUUAAAAGACUCGACCUUAUAAGUUUAAAUAGGUCCUAUAGUGCAGUAAUUAGAAGAUAUUGC